CGGAGCAAGGAGCAGCAAAGAAAACGUAGUCAAGACCAUUAAUGUCCUGCAGGAUGACAGGUGAGUGAUUCUUUUAUCUUUCGCAUAAUGACCACGAACAGUAACACACACGGUUUGCAAGCACGUGAUAACUUAAACAGCUUACAUAUAUCUGUAUAUACUUCACUGCACAAAUUAUUAAGCUGAAACUCAGUAUCCUUAUAGUUCGGUAAAUUUCUGGAACAAGCGGAAAUAUUAAAAAUUCAAAAGUUAUAAAUCAGUUUAGUUCCGCUCGAGAAACACCUACGGUCAGCUGAUCGAAGCAGCACUUAAAAAAAAAGAACUGGCGAAAGUUUAUGCGGAGUUUUAAUGCAGAAAUAUUGUUGUCACGCUGUUUACAACGAUUUUUGCUGCACGCUGUCACCGAAGUGUGUGUUAAGUUUCAUUUAGUCUUUGUGUCUGUAUAAACUUAUCGAAGAGAGAGACAUAUAGGCGCUCAAACAAGAUCCCGUUUAUCUUGGAAUAAUCUGCUGCCAACCGACAGUGCAGUGCUACUCAAAUUGCAUUUACGGUUGGAGCUAUUAAUUGCAGCAAUUGAUCACCUGCCACAGCUUAAUAAUAGUUUUCGUGAGUCACGCUAUAAUUCCCGUUUUGUUUGUAUAUAAAUUAUCGAUAAUCGCAAGUAUCCGAAAAAACUCAUUGACGUCACAAUGUGCAUUUGAUUACUUAUACGAAAAGAUACAUUAACGCUUUUUUCCUUUCGAAAGCAAUUUUUUUGAGAGGACGGAACUUUCCGAAACUAUAACGCUUUUCAUCCUUUUAUGCCUCUCUCCUUACAUGGUUGAGAUGUAGAAAAAGAAACUUGUCCGAUGAUAGAUGUGUUAUUCAUUUUUCUACUGUUUUUCCACGCGUGCAACCGUCUUCGCCAUAUAUAUAUAUUUUUUCUUUUACUGCCACUUUUUGGUGUGUGAUUUGAUGACUUAGCGACAAUCAAUUACUACAUCAGGCGCCAUGAUGACCAACUUUGAUUCCUCUCGCUUUAUGCUUUCCUAAUUUCUGAUUUUUGUUCGAUUUUCCGCCGUCAUGUGAUUCUGUUUAAGAGACGAGAGUGAUGUUUUUCAUUUAUUUGGUCUUGCGAAAUUAUGAUCGCCGCCAUCAUUCUAAUAGAAUGUAUCAUGUAAAUGAAAAAGCUUUUCGGCUCACUAAUACUGCCAUAGGAAUAAUAAUAAUAACGAAAACUAAUGAUUUUAAUUUCUGCAAACUUAAAAAAUCCAUACAUUUAAAUUAUAAAAUAUUGCAUACAAUCAAAGAAAUUUCAAUACUCAUUAUAUUUAAAAUACCAUAAGCAUUCGCUAUCCAAUUGCGCCUUUACUUAAUUGCUUCUCAAGAUUUCAUAGGUGAAAAUGUGUAAGAAUCGUGUGUGCCGUUAUUUUUUUUUUUUUUUUUUUUAAAGAAUAUUAGCCAUCGACGAGCUUCUACAAUAAUUAAAUA
rnacentral:lncRNA from 1 species